rnacentral:rRNA from 1 species
UUUUUUGUCAUGCUCAARWYGAMRACGCKGGCGGGCGUGGCCUAACACAUGCAAGUCGAACGGUAACAGGGACUUCGGUCCGCUGACGAGUGGCGCACGGGUGAGUAACGCGUGGAGUUACCUACCCAUCAGUGGGGAAAAACUCCGGGAAACCGGGGCUAAUACCGCAUACGACCUUCGGGUGAAAGAGGGGGAUCUUCGGACCUCUCGCUGAUGGAUGGUUCCGCGUCCGAUUAGUUAGUUGGUAAGGUAAUGGCUUACCAAGACGAUGAUCGGUAGCUGGUCUGAGAGGAUGAUCAGUCACACUGGAACUGAGACACGGUCCAGACUCCUACGGGAGGCAGCAGUGGGGAAUUUUGCACAAUGGGCGAAAGCCUGAUGCAGCGACGCCGCGUGCGGGAAGAAGGCCUUCGGGUUGUAAACCGCUUUCAACAGGGAAGAAGGAAUGAGGGUUAAUACCCCUCUGCCUUGACGGUACCUGUAGAAGAAGCCCCGGCUAAUUUCGUGCCAGCAGCCGCGGUAAUACGAAAGGGGCAAGCGUUGUUCGGAUUUACUGGGCGUAAAGAGAUCGUAGGUGGCUUGUUAAGUCGGAUGUGAAAUCCCGGGGCUCAACCCCGGAACUGCAUUCGAUACUGGCAGGCUUGAGUUCGGGAGGGGUAAGCGGAAUUCCGUGUGUAGCAGUGAAAUGCGUAGAUAUACGGAGGAACACCUGAGGCGAAGGCGGCUUACUGGACCGAUACUGACACUGAGGAUCGAAAGCGUGGGUAGCAAACAGGAUUAGAUACCCUGGUAGUCCACGCCCUAAACGAUGUCUACUAGCCGUUGCGGGUAUCGACCCCUGCAGUGGCGCAGCUAACGCAAUAAGUAGACCGCYKGGGGGAGUACSGSCGCMCWMUGGCUAAAACUAAAGGAUAGUAG